UGGGGAAUAUUGGACAAUGGGGGGAACCCUGAUCCAGCGACGCCGCGUGAGUGAAGAAGUAUUUCGGUAUGUAAAGCUCUAUCAGCAGGGAAGAAAAUGACGGUACCUGACUAAGAAGCCCCGGCUAACUACGUGCCAGCAGCCGCGGUAAUACGUAGGGGGCAAGCGUUAUCCGGAUUUACUGGGUGUAAAGGGAGCGCAGACGGUUUUGCAAGUCUGAAGUGAAAGCCCGAGGCUUAACCUCGGAGUCGCUUUGGAAACUGUAUAACUAGAGUAUCGGAGAGGUAAGUGGAAUUCCUAGUGUAGCGGUGAAAUGCGUAGAUAUUAGGAGGAACACCGGUGGCGAAGGCGGCUUACGGGAGCGCAACUGACGCUGAAGCUCGAAGGUGCGGGUAUCGAACAGG
rnacentral:rRNA from 1 species